CCUAAGACAUGCAAGUCGAACGAGAAGCCAUGAAUUAUGAGAGUGGAAGUGCUUGCACGGAAAAAGGAUAUAAUAGAUUGGAAUUCCUUCUAGUGGCAAACGGGUGAGUAACACGUGGGUAACCUACCUCCGAGACGGGGAUAACAAUUGGAAACGAUUGAUAAUACCGGAUACGAUCUAAGGAUUAAAGGUGCUGUAAGGCAUCGACUUGGAGAUGGGCCUGCGGCGUAUUAGCUAGUUGGUGAGGUAAUGGCUCACCAAGGCAACGAUGCGUAGCCGAACUGAGAGGUUGAUCGGCCACACUGGGACUGAGACACGGCCCAGACUCCUACGGGAGACAGCAGUUAGGAAUAUUCGUCAAUGGGGGAAACCCUGAACGAGCAAUGCCGCGUGAAUGAAAAGAAGGCCCUAUGGGUUGUAAAAUUCUGUUGUUUGGAAAAAAGGAUAUGUGUAGGAAAUGGCACAUAUUUGAUGGUACCAUUCAAGAAAGCCACGGCUAACUACGUGCCAGCAGCGGC
rnacentral:rRNA from 1 species